rnacentral:rRNA from 1 species
UACGUAGGGUGCAAGCGUUGUCCGGAAUUAUUGGGCGUAAAGAGCUUGUAGGCGGUUUGUCGCGUCUGCUGUGAAAUUUCGGGGCUCAACCCCGAACUUGCAGUGGGUACGGGCAGACUAGAGUGUGGUAGGGGUGACUGGAAUUCCUGGUGUAGCGGUGGAAUGCGCAGAUAUCAGGAGGAACACCGAUGGCGAAGGCAGGUCACUGGGCCUGCACUGACGCUCAUGCACGAAAGCGUGGGGAGCAAACAGG